UACGAAGGGGGCUCGCGUUGCUCGGAAUGACUGGGCGUAAAGGGCGCGUAGGCGGCUUACAUAGUUAGGCGUGAAAUUCCUGUGCUCAACCUGGGGACUGCGUCUAAUACAUGUAGGCUUGAGUGUGAAAGAGGGUCGUGGAAGUUCCAGUGUAGAGGUGAAAUUCGUAGAUAUUGGAAAGAACACGGGUGGCGCAGGCGGCGACCUGGUGCAUUACUGACGCUGAGGCGCGUAAGCGUGGGGAGCAAACAGG
rnacentral:rRNA from 1 species